rnacentral:tRNA from 1 species
AAGAGAAGACGAACAAAUAGGAACUGCUAAUUACCUAUAAUUGAGGUUAAACUCCACAAUUCUCUUU